UCCUCCCGGCCUGCCUCCGAUCACGGCCCUGAAAGAGAAGACAUGCUGUUUUUCCAGCUCAAGAGACACCACUGCAGGGGGAGCAGUAGCAGGCUUGGGGACGUUUUCCACUCAAGAAGCUGGCUAUGGGAAGAGCUUACCCUGUAUUUCAUGCAAUACAAAGGAAGAUGGCUGUUUGGGGUUGCCGUGUCUCUUAGCAAUUAAGGAGAUGGCUACAGCCAAGCAGUGUGAAGUGACAGCACCAGAAAGUUUUCUACACCAGAGGCUGAGAACAGGGGUUGUGCAGUCAUAUUCAGUAUUAAGUCCCCAACCCUAACCCGGGCCUGGCACAUACAAGACAUUCAGCAGAUGGCUAUUGAAUGAAAAUAUAUAAAUGAAUGAACAAUUACCAGUUGCCUCCACUCCCUUAACCUGCUACAGAAUUAAUAAACUAAUCUUGAGCAUA
rnacentral:lncRNA from 1 species